AUUGAACGCUGGCGGCAGGCCUAACACAUGCAAGUCGAACGGUAACAGGGAUCAGCUUGCUGAUUCGCUGACGAGUGGCGGACGGGUGAGUAAUGUCUGGGAAACUGCCUGAUGGAGGGGGAUAACUACUGGAAACGGUAGCUAAUACCGCAUAACGUCGCAAGACCAAAGAGGGGGACCUUCGGGCCUCUUGCCAUCGGAUGUGCCCAGAUGGGAUUAGCUAGUAGGUGGGGUAACGGCUCACCUAGGCGACGAUCCCUAGCUGGUCUGAGAGGAUGACCAGCCACACUGGAACUGAGACACGGUCCAGACUCCUACGGGAGGCAGCAGUGGGGAAUAUUGCACAAUGGGCGCAAGCCUGAUGCAGCCAUGCCGCGUGUAUGAAGAAGGCCUUCAGGUUGUAAAGUACUUUCAGCGGGGAGGAAGGGAGUAAAGUUAAUACCUUUGCUCAUUGACGUUACCCGCAGAAGAAGCACCGGCUAACUCCGUG
rnacentral:rRNA from 1 species